GAUGAACGCUGGCGGCGUGCCUAAUACAUGCAAGUCGAGCGAACAGACGAGGAGCUUGCUCCUCUGACGUUAGCGGCGGACGGGUGAGUAACACGUGGAUAACCUACCUAUAAGACUGGGAUAACUUCGGGAAACCGGAGCUAAUACCGGAUAACAUGUUGAACCGCAUGGUUUAACAGUGAAAGACGGUCUUGCUGUCACUUAUAGAUGGAUCCGCGCCGCAUUAGCUAGUUGGUAAGGUAACGGCUUACCAAGGCAACGAUGCGUAGCCGACCUGAGAGGGUGAUCGGCCACACUGGAACUGAGACACGGUCCAGACUCCUACGGGAGGCAGCAGUAGGGAAUCUUCCGCAAUGGGCGAAAGCCUGACGGAGCAACGCCGCGUGAGUGAAGAAGGUCUUCGAAUCGUAAAACUCUGUUAUUAGGGAAGAACAAAUGUGUAAGUAACUAUGCACGUCUUGACGGUACCUAAUCAGAAAGCCACGGCUAACUACGUG
rnacentral:rRNA from 1 species